rnacentral:lncRNA from 10 species
UACAGCCAAUGGUGGAGGCGGCCCCGGGUCCUGGGCCCUGCCGUGGGCUGAGGCUGGAUCUGUGGGCAGAGGAGGGCGGUGUGUGAGCCGGGGCCUUGGCAAGGGGAAGGACGCUGCUCAGAGCUCACAGACCUGGGUGCCCAGGCCCCGUGUCAGCGGUGGCCUCCAGAACCUUCAGCGUCAGGGCCAGCUCAGCCUCCAAAGCCAUGGGGCGCUCCCUCACCUGAGGAGAGGUGAGAAAGAGCAGGUGAGGGGGGAGGUGAGGGGAACAGGUUGGGGAGCAGGAUAGAGAGGAACAAGUGAAGGUGACAGGCACAGGGGAGAGGGCACAGCCAGUGUGAUCCUGGUGGGAUUGGAGGAUGGCUGACAACAGGAUAGGGGAGGUUAACUGCUGGGAGGAUGGUAGAGGACCCUCUUCUACAGGAAAACAUGAGUCAGUCCCUACAGUAGGAGCAUGAGAUAGCCCACUGCAGGGAGGGUGGAGGCUAGCCCAGUGAAGGAAGCUGGGAGUGGGAAAGCAUGGUGACGCUUGGAGUGGGGGUGGAGGCUAGUCCAUGGCAGGAGGGCAGGGGGAGACUCACUAAGGCAUCUUUGGCCCUCU